CCAAGCAUUGCGUAUUGUUAUGAAAGAAAUGUUUGCUAAAUUCAGGCUUAAUGGAACAUGAAGCCAGUCAUAUGCAAGCAUCGACUUAUUCCUCUGCUGUCUGCGAAGUUGUGAUCAAGAAAACACUUCUGCUCAUUAGAGAGUUGAUCAGACACAGUGCUUAGCUAUUAACAUUUCUCUGUUCACAUGAAGCUUGCUCAGAUGAAAGAGCAAAACCAACAGAUUGGAAGAACUCAGCUGGGGAAACAUUGUCCUAAGCAUGACGCCCUCUAAGAUACACAACAAACUGACUUCAAACCCAUCCAGCUUUAACACCGGUUGUAGCACGUUUUAAGUCUUUUUGUGGGUAUGAGAUCACUUGAUGCUGAUGUAUCAGAAUCUUCAUUCUAUGUCAGUCUCCAGGACACAAAGCGCGGUGGAGAGGAUGGAGAAUGGAUCUCAAGAGAGAGGUGGGCAUUUUACAGCACAGCUUCCAAAUCAAGUUCACUGUCCACUUGGAUAGUGCACAGAAAUAUUCAGAAUUGACUGCUUUUGGAGCAGAACUAUCAUCCCACUGAGGAUUUUCCACACUGUUACUCUCCUGGAGAGAGGAGAGGCUACGUUUAUACCUAAGGUAAUUAAUUUGCGUGUACACAUCAACAGAGCAGGUAUGCUUCUGCUUCCAGUCAUGUGUGCACCGUAAAACAGAACCAGAAAUUCUUUCAAUUGAAGAGCACUUUAAUUUUCAAAAAUAGACGACCACAAUUCCUUUCUAAAACUGCAGUCUUGGAUCACAAAGUGUUAAAAAAUCUGUUGAUUGGUAUUGCAAUCAGGGGGACAGGCAGGAGGAGCCACUGGCAUGUGUGUUGAAGAUAAGAAAUCCUAGGUUGAGAGUUAAGUUUCUAUUGAAGAAUUUUUUAAACUCCCCUUACAUUUAACCAAUAAAACAAAGGGGAUAUUCCAAUGUUGCCUGU